UACGGAGGGAGCUAGCGUUGUUCGGAAUUACUGGGCGUAAAGCGCACGUAGGCGGAUAUUUAAGUGAGGGGUGAAAUCCCAGGGCUCAACCCUGGAACUGCCUCUCAUACUGGGUAUCUCGAGUUCGAGAGAGGUGAGUGGAAUUGCGAGUGUAGAGGUGAAAUUCGUAGAUAUUCGCAGGAACACCAGUGGCGAAGGCGGCUCACUGGCUCGAUACUGGCGCUGAGGUGCGAAAGCGUGGGGAGCAAACAGG
rnacentral:rRNA from 1 species